rnacentral:lncRNA from 1 species
AACACCUUGCCACUGUAUUUUUUCUUGAAGUUGUACACCAAAAUGGAACAUGCAUUCUGUAUGCUUAGCUGAUGGGAACACUUGUUGCACUCUAGCCAUGCCAAUUUGCCUAGCAUCAGUAUAAAUAGCUAACCCAUGUGGUGUUCCUAUAGCUUCUCUAAGCCUUUCCAUUAACUAGAUCCAAUUGUCAUUUAUCUCAGAGUCAAACACUCAAAAAGUAAC